AGUGAACGCUGGCGGUAGGCCUAACACAUGCAAGUCGAACGGCAGCACAGUAAGAGCUUGCUCUUACGGGUGGCGAGUGGCGGACGGGUGAGGAAUACAGCGGAAUCUACUUUUUCGUGGGGGAUAACGUAGGGAAACUUACGCUAAUACCGCAUACGACCUACGGGUGAAAGCAGGGGAUCUUCCGACCUUGCGCGAAUGAAUGAGCCGAUGUCGGAUUAGCUAGUUGGCGGGGUAAAGGCCCACUAAGGCGACGAUACGUAGCUGGUCUGAGAGGAUGAUCAGCCACACUGGAACUGAGACACGGUCCAGACUCCUACGGGAGGCAGCAGUGGGGAAUAUUGGACAAUGGGCGCAAGCCUGAUCCAGCCAUACCGCGUGGGUGAAGAAGGCCUUCGGGUUGUAAAGCCCUUUUGUUGGGAAAGAAAAGCAGCAGGUUAAUACCCCGCUGUUCUGACGGUACCCAAAGAAUAAGCACCGGCUAACUUCGUG
rnacentral:rRNA from 1 species